rnacentral:rRNA from 1 species
CCCUGAGAGUCCUGAAGGAACGUUGAAGACGACGACGUUGAUAGGUCGGGUGUGUAAGCGCAGCGAUGCGUUGAGCUAACCGAUACUAAUGAACCGUGAGGCUUAACCUUACAACGCCGAAGC